rnacentral:tRNA from 1 species
GGUCCUGUUGUCCAACGGCUAAGACGCUUCGUUUACACCGAAGUGACCCAGGUUCGAUUCCUGGCAGGACCA